rnacentral:rRNA from 1 species
GCCUACGGGGGGCAGCAGUAGGGAAUCUUCCACAAUGGGCGAAAGCCUGAUGGAGCAACGCCGCGUGGGUGAAGAAGGUCUUCGGAUCGUAAAACCCUGUUGUUAGAGAAGAAAGUGCGUGAGAGUAACUGUUCACGUUUCGACGGUAUCUAACCAGAAAGCCGCGGCUAACUACGUGCCAGCAGCCGCGGUAAUACGUAGGUGGCAAGCGUUAUCCGGAUUUAUUGGGCGUAAAGGGAACGCAGGCGGUCUUUUAAGUCUUAUGUGGAAGCCUUCGGCUUAACCGGAGUAGUGCAUUGGAAACU